rnacentral:rRNA from 1 species
AGUGAACGCUGGCGGCGUGCUUAACACAUGCAAGUCGAACGAGGACGGAAUAUAGCUUGCUAUAUUUGUCAGCUAAGUGGCGCACGGGUGAGUAAUGUAUAGAUAACCUGCCCUUAAGAAAGGAAUAACAGUAGGAAACGACUGCUAAUGCCCUAUAUGCCUUUAAUACAUAAGUAUGCAAGGGAAACGCUUUAGUGCUUAAGGAUGGGUCUGUAUGGUAUCAGCUUGUUGGUGAGGUAAUGGCUCACCAAGGCUAUGACGCCUAACUGGUUUGAGAGGAUGAUCAGUCACACUGGAACUGAGACACGGUCCAGACUCCUACGGGAGGCAGCAGUGGGGAAUAUUGCACAAUGGACGAAAGUCUGAUGCAGCAACGCCGCGUGGAGGAUGACACAUUUCGGUGCGUAAACUCCUUUUAUAUAGGAAGAUAAUGACGGUACUAUAUGAAUAAGCACCGGCUAACUCCGUGCCAGCCGCCGCGGUAA